rnacentral:misc_RNA from 1 species
GAUGAAGAACGCAGCGAAAUGCGAUAAGUAGUGUGAAUUGCAGAAUUCAGUGAAUCAUCGAAUCUUUGAACGCACAUUGCGCCCCAUGGUAUUCCGUGGGGCAUGCCUGUUCGAGCGUCAUUUACCCCCUCAAGCUCCGCUUGGUGUUGGGCGUCUGUCCCGCUUCGCGCGCGGACUCGCCCCAAAGGUAUUGGCAGCGGUCGUGCCAGCUUCUCGCGCAGCACAUUGCGCUUCUCGAGGCACCGGCGGGCCCGCGUCUAUCAAGCUCCACCCCCCCAGUUUGACCUCGGAUCAGGUAGGGAUACCCGCUGAACUUAAGCAUAUCAAUAAGCGGAGGA